UUUUUCACAGAUCUGGACGUGGAAAGGCCAGUGUCCCUUCUCAGAAGGGACUCACUGACUAUUCCGUAAUGUUUCCAAAACAUGAUGCAGCCUGAGGUGUGGUUUUGGGUGUCUGAGAAGCAAAGAAGCAUGAAAUGAAGCAGGACAUCAAGCUUGCUUUUGCCUGAAGACCCACGAGCUUUGAGGUGAAUGUUGGAAGUGCUAUAUGAAGGUGAGCUACUGUACAUCUCUUCCUCAUUCUACAUUCAAUGACAUCAUGUUGGUAAGUUGAAAUAGGCUAUUGUGCAAGUAUUUAUACUAUGGAAACCAGCAAAUGCUGUGAAUCAGAACUUGAUUUACCAUUUUGAUUCUUACAUCAGAG
ensembl:lncRNA